rnacentral:misc_RNA from 1 species
ACUUUCGAUUUCACAUUACAGGAACAAAAUGGGUGGUGUGGAUAUUGUGAGCCUUGCAUAUUCCGUGACUGUAACAGCUGGAGGGCUGAUGGGAUAUGUGAGGGCAGGGAGUAUCCCCUCUUUGGUGGCUGGUCUUGCCUUUGGAAGUUUGAUGGGGUACGGUACUUAUCAGACCUCCAACGACCCACAAAACGUCAACCUGUCUCUGGGUAUGUGAUCUCGUUCAGACUCGAUUCCAACACUGGAGGACAAGUUUGAAUUCUGUUGAUUUUUACUUAUCACUAUUUGGAUACAACUUUUUUGCCUGUACUUGUAUAAUGAAUAAUGAAUUGAUGUAGAGUUAGAGUCUAUGAAUUUGAAUUCAGUAGCAAUAAGUAGAAUAUUGAAGAUAUAUAUGCUUUAAUUAGGAUGUAAUUAUUUCUUAUAAAAAGUGACGAGUGGAUUGCUGGCUGGUGUGAUGGGAUACAGGUUUUUCAACUCUGGAAAGUUCAUGCCUGCUGGUCUUGUAUUUGGCUUGAGGUAUUACCUGUAUUUUUAUGGACUCUAGUGAAAGCUAUUAUAGAGAGAAAGAGAAAGGGAGAGAGAGAUAGACAAAGAGAGAUUUUGACUAAAAAUAUACCCGGUAAUGGUGAAGGAUGGUUCUGCUCAUCAAGCUUUCUCAUUAUUUUAAACAUUCUCAAUUCGAAAAGAGAGAGAGAGAGGUAGAGGCUAGAAUUGAGAGUAGAAAAGUUUAGGGGAGAGAUUUUAAAUACUGGUAAAAAAAUAAUAACUGAAGGAGGGUUUAUAAGUAUUAAUGGAGUUCUUUUGUUAUUUUAAAAGACCUGUAUCUCACUUCAUUACCAGUGCAUUUGUCAUUUCAGUUUGCUGAUGGUUGCCAGAUUUGGAUACAGAAUUGCUUCAAGAACUUAAUCAUUUCACACGAUUGUAACCACAAAGACUCUUGUUUUCAUGCUUCAUUUUAUUCAGUCAGAAACUCAAAAUAAAAUAACAUGUUACA